UCUAAUAUGGCAGAAUAGUGCAAUGAACUUAAACUUCGUAUAUAAAGAUUUAAUCUUUUAUUAGAA
rnacentral:tRNA from 1 species